UACGGGGGGGGCAAGCGUUGCUCGGAAUCAUUGGGCGUAAAGCGCGCGUAGGCGGAUCGCUAAGUCAGGGGUGAAAUCCCAAGGCUCAACCUUGGAACUGCCUUUGAUACUGACGAUCUGGAGAUCGGGAGAGGUGAGUGGAAUUCCGAGUGUAGAGGUGAAAUUCGUAGAUAUUCGGAGGAACACCAGAAGCGAAGGCGGCUCACUGGCCCGAUACUGACGCUGAGGCGCGAAAGCGUGGGGAGCAAACAGG
rnacentral:rRNA from 1 species